rnacentral:rRNA from 1 species
AACGAACGCUGGCGGCGUGCCUAACACAUGCAAGUCGAACGGAAAGGCCCUGCUUUUGUGGGGUGCUCGAGUGGCGAAGGGGUGAGUUACCCGUGAGUAACCUGUCCUUGACUUUGAGAUAACUUCAGGCAACCGGGGCUAAUACCGGAUAGGAGCUCCUGAAGCAGGGUGGGCGUUGGACAGUUUAGGCUGUUGGGGGUGUACUCGCGGCUCAUCAGCUUGUUGGUUGGGUAGUGGCAUAGCAAGGCCUUGACGGGUAGUCGGCCUGGGAGGGGAAGCCGCCACAUUACGACUGAGAUACGGCACAGACUCCUACGGGAGGCAACGGUGGAGAGGAUUGUACAAUGGGCGGGAGCCUGAUGCGACAACGCCGCGUGCGGGAUGACGGCCAUCGGGUUGUGAAGCGCAGUCGCUUGUGACGGAGCGUGAGUGACGGUAACAGCAGAAGAAGCACCGGCUAACUACGUG